GACGAACGCUGGCGGCGUGCUUAAUACAUGCAAGUCGAGCGAACAGACGCGGCGCUUGCUCCUCUGAAGUUAGCGGCGGACGGGUAAGUAACACGUGGAUAACCUACCUCUAAGACUGGGAUAACUUCGGGAAACCGGAGCUAAUACCGGAUAAUAUAUUGAACCGCAUGGUUCAAUAGUGAAAUACGGUUUUGCUGUCCUUUCUAGAUGGCUCCGCGCCGCAUUAGCUAGUUGGUAAGGUAACGGCUUACCAAGGCGACGAUGCGUAGCCGACGUGCGAGGGUGUUGGACCACACUGGAGCUGAGAGGCGAUCCAGACUCUUAGGGACGGCAGCAGUAGGGAAGCGUGCGAAAAGGGGGAAAGCUUGACGGAGCAGCGCCGCGUGAGUGAAGAAGGUCUUCGGAGGGGAAAACGCUUUUAUUGUGGAAAAACAAAUUUGUAAGGAACGAUGCACGUCGUGACGGUACCUAAUCAGAAAGCCACGGCUAACUACGUG
rnacentral:rRNA from 1 species